AGGAGCAACAGCCCCAGUGGCGGGGCCAGCUCUGGAAACCUGGAUUCAGCUCCGGCAGGAACUCCGUCUGCAGGGCCUGGAGGCUCCGGGGCGGG
rfam:Canis lupus familiaris chromosome 1, whole genome shotgun sequence.